UUCGCAAUGCCCGAAAGGGUGACGAAGCGACGCCGCGUGCGGGAAGAAGGCCUUCGGGUUGUAAACCACUGUCGGGAGUUAGGAAAUGUAAGGGUGCUAAUAGUAUCCUUACUUGACUAAGGCUCCGGAGGAAGCCACGGCUAACUCUGUGCCGGCAGCCGCGGUAAUACAGAGGCGGCAAGCGUUGUUCGGAAUUAUUGGGCGUAAAGAGCACGUAGGCGGCUAUGUAAGUCGGUUGUGAAAGCCUUCCGCUCAACGGAAGAACAGCAUCCGAUACUGCAUGGCUUGAGUGCGGGAGGGGAGAGUGGAACUUCUGGUGGAGCGGUGAAAUGCGUAGAUAUCAGAAGGAACACCGGCGGCGAAGGCGACUCUCUGGUCCGUAACUGACGCUGAGUGUGCGAAAGCUAGGGGAGCAAACGGGAUUAGAUACCCCGGUAGUCCUAGCCGUAAAC
rnacentral:rRNA from 1 species